AGCCUAAACUUUACUCUUUAUAUAUAUAUAUAUAUAUAUAUAUAUAUAUAUAUAUAUAUGUGUGUGUGUGUGUGUGUGUGUGUGUGUGUGUGUGUGUGGAAUUUGUAUAUGUUUUUAAUAUGUAAACCAAAUGCUUGAAAUUAUUGAAACCCAAAUGUGUAGAACUUAGGAAUUUCGCGUAGAAGCUUAGGAAUUACUCAAAUGAUUUUAAAAAAAUCGACAUGUUUAAUUUGAAACAAUGCAUGAAAUUGGUAAAUAACUUUGUUGAAAUAUUUGAAAAAUAAGCAGAAAUGGUAUUGCAUACAUAUACGGAAUAUAUGCAUUUGUAUAAGGACACAAAGAUGGGAAAAAAUGGGUUUGGGCCUUUUCCCCUUUAGAAAUAAAUAAGAAACUGAUUUUGGAUACUUGAGAUUGAUUUUAGUUCAAAAGGAAACUGAUUUUCAAAAGAAAAUGAAUGAAUUAUUUUGAAAAAUCAACUUCUAUAACUAGAGGUUAUUUGAAACCUUUAUUGGGCUCAAGCCCAAACCUUAAGUCAAAAAAAUAAGAGGAGAUAUACUUAAACUUUAUUUUGUGGUGAAGGUUUAAAGUAGGGAUAUGGUUAACCUUAAAAUGGGCUACGAUGAAAUAAAAAUAAGUAAACCCCUUUUUAUAUAUACUUACAAAACCUAUGCUAUUUUUCAAAGAAGAUAUACUCAAUAUUCCUAAAACAUAAACUUGUAAGGAUUAAAAAUCAUGACGUUGGACCAGGUUAGUAGAAAUUCUACUUAAAAGAAAUCUUAAGUGUGUUUCGGUCCGAAAAUGAAAAUGACUUUUGCCCUUAUAAACAUUUUGCAAAAGAAAACCAACUCAUUUUCCUUAAAUAUUUUGUCAAAAGGAGUUAUGAUAUGCAUGAUAGUUUUGCAAGAAAGAAAACAUUUUAGCAAGUAAUCACAGUUAAUUACAUUAAAUCUAGCAGGUCAACCGUAUUCUAUGGAUCCUUAAUUCUAGGGUGCUUAAAACCUUACCUAGGGGAUCACCAGAACCCUUACCUCGAACUCUUAUUUGAAAAGGAUUUUUCUUUUGUUUGAUAAAAUCCUUUUAACAUGGCUUUCAUAAUUUUCCUUAUAAAUUAGGUGGAAACUCUAAAAAUAACAACAUCUGAAUAGAAUCCACAAUCUCUUAGUAGAUUUUAUGCACCCCCAUAAAAAUUAACCGUAACAUCACCUAAUGAGAGAGUGUCCACAGAGAGGGCAGGGUGGUAUGGCACAGUCGACCAGUUCAUUAGCAGGGUCAUCCUCGUCAAUAUAUCCUUUUGGGAGGGGGGGAGGGGGGGAUCAUAGUCAUCGGCAGGUAGAGAUCGUGGUAGAGGUGGAGCACCUAGUUUAGGUAGUACCCAGAACCAUAUUUAUGCUCUUACAGGUCGUCGGGACCUAGAGUUUAGCUUCCUGUUAUGAUAAUGUCGAGUACUGGACAAAGAGUUUUAGGUAUCAUUUCCCAAAAGAAGCAGUCCUAGAGUGGAAAGGUAAUGCAGCGACACCUAAAGGUAGGUUUAUCUCAAGGCAAAUAAGAUGAUUAUUAAGGGUUGUAUUUAUCAGAUUGUCCAAGUUAGAGAUAUAGAAGUAGAGCUCGACUCUACUGUCUGGUUCAGUGGUUAGUCAGUUCCCAAAUGUAUUUACAAGAAGUUCCAGGAUCGAGAGAAAUGAGGUAAGUUAGUGCAUGCAUGAUGAAUGUGUCAGAAUGAACAAGGAAAAGAGAUUGUUUAUACUUGUAGACAGUUGAUAAAUCACGAAGCGGAGCACCUGAUCCAUAAUCUAGAGUUAGUAGCGGCUAUAUGCGCGUGAGAGGUAUAGUGACACUACUUAGAGUUUUUUUUUAUAUCUUUAAGUAGGAAAACAAUGGAACUAGCGAAUUGAGAAGAUGACUCAAAUCACUAAAGGGUUAUGACGUCCCCAUCUUGAAUCAUCUGGGCAAGCUAAUGAGUAGUGACGUCCUCAGCUACAGAUCUAUGGGCAGCUUAGUGUAUUGAGGAACCGAAAAGGGAAAAUUAGCCAAAGAGGUGCAUCAGCUAGCGAGUUUGGCAGUCCGAUUAUUUGACUCAGGAUAACAAGUGAUAUUCAGAAUACAGUAGUAUCAUCUCUAGUAGUAGAAAGAAAAGAAUAAUAGUAUGAAAAUCCUACUCCUUUGCAGAUUAAAGAAGAGGUGCAAUUUAACAAAGUGUUAGCCUUCGAGGUGACAAACUUGGGUCUUGAGAUAUAGAAGUCGAUUAUGUGUUUCAGGUAUAGCAGGACUAUGGCAUCAGAUUAUGAUAGGGGAGCAUAGUCUCGUUAUUAUAUUCAUCAAGGUCGAAAAAGAUGUACCAUGACAUCAAGAAACUAAAUCUAGUGGAUAGUGUUCAGAUGAUCGUUUUGAUGUAUAGCCUACUCAAGACGAAUUAUAUGGUUGGUGUGAUUAAAGGGAUAUAGAGCAUAAGAGAUACCAAUCAUUUAGUUAGAUUCUAUUGAGGUUUAGUAUAAUGGAUACGUUUCAGAGUCUUGCAAAUAUAUUCUAGAUCAUUACUUAAGGUAAAUCAUAUCGACGACGUUAAGUAAUCCUUAUGGAUCUAUAGUUCUUAACUUUAAGGUGAAACGCGUGGGUGGCACUUGAAUUAUCAUUAUUAGGUUGUAAGAUGUCUCUUAGGAUGAAUCUUAUCGACCUAGACAGACAUAAUCUUUCUAGAGGGUAAGGCGAAGCUAGGAGGACUAGAGUACAUGUUGGGACAUACCAAAUAAGGAUCCUAGAAUAGUACGUGCAAGCGUCCUCAUGUGUGAAGGUUGGCAGGCCACGAAAUGAGGAUAAAGGGGUUAUAGGUAAAGCCUAAAUUGUCAUCCCUUAGUAUAGCCUUGAAGUAUUACAAAAAUGACUGGAGCAGGAUCUAGCUUAUAAGGUAAAUGAUGGCUUAAAAUGUUUCUUUUGAUAUAUGACAACCGUCUGAGGCCCUAUAUGUAUAUAUAAUAUGUGAAUGGCCCUGCGAGGCAUGUGGAUUGGAUUCUGCUUGUUUGUAGGUUUUGGAUAGUGCCCAAUUAUAGGGAGACUCUAUUGAAAUUUUCAAAAAAUCUAUAGGAAUUAGUUUCUUCCCUAAUAUACCUCUACAUUCGAGGAUGAAUGUUCCAAGAAGGGAUGUUACAUCCUGUGUUUCAUGUGUUAGAAAGCGUGUAAGUUAAUGACAUAAAUAGUGGAUGAUGAGGUUAUCCCAAGUUUAUAGGUACUUAGAAUGAUAGUACGGAUAUGUGGUAAGGAUUAGAAGUUAAACGAAUCAAAUAAAAUAAGUUUCAUCAAGGUUUGACAUUUAUUUUGAAUGAAAUAUGGUCCAAAUAUACCCCAUAUUUGCGCACUAGGAAAUUGAACAGUCCAACAUGAGAAAAUUUAUCCGAACUCGGAGGAUUUGGUCAUAUUCAAGCAUGCAAAUUAAGAGUCAGUGUAUAAAAGGAUGAAGUCCCGAAAUGAUUUAAGACGAAAAAGUAUUUCGACGAUGAUUGGGAAUAAUAUGUUAUGUGUGGCAAACGAGGCUAUGGACUAAUGCUAUAUUACAUGAUCAUGAUUAGGAGUAUACGAAGUGUGUCCCAAAAUAAUUAUUAUUGAGGUGGACUGAGAUUAAGAUAUUAUUGAGGUGGACUGAGAUUAAGAAUUAAUUAUUAUAAGUGUAAUUAGUGGAGAUAAAGGUAAUCAUUUAUAUUAAAUGGAUAAGCUCUAUGGGAAACACCUUUACACGUGGGGUUAUGACAUGAAACAAAAAUAGUGACUAAUGUAUAGAUAUAUACAUGGAUGUGUUUGUGGCUGCCUUGGAAUAAUUUGCACAUUCCAUCAAUUUGCACUUUUAUGAAUGGAAUUAAUGAAGUGGUCCCCACAUUCCAUCUAGGAGGAGUUACUAUGAGAUUAAGACAAUCCUUUUGAAGAGUAAUAGAGGCAGCAACGUUUUACACUUUGCUUUUACGAAAAAAAGGGACCAGCAAUGUUUUAGACACUUUAUUUUAGGAAAGAAGUGAGAAGAAACGUUGUUAUGUUGUAGACGAAUGAGAAGUUGGGCACCAACAAAGCAGCACUUUGCAGCAACGUGUAUUUCAUUUUAAGUGGAAAAAUCCUUACUUAUCCUACAUUUGUCAUACUUCAGUAAGAAGAGUAGAAGAGUUAUGUUUACAAGUUAUAUAGUACAACCAUUAUAUAUUUACAAAUAUGACUAGCUUAUUAGUCGGAGAGUUACGCCCGACUUAGUCGGAGAGAUAUGCCCGGCUUAUUAGCUGGAGAGAUAUGCCUGAUCUUAUGGCUGGAGAGAUACACUAAGCCCUAUAUGUGGCUGUCUAGCAAAGAUUACUAUAUUAUGUAAAGGAUGAGUCAGAGCAGGUUUGGAUAGACAGGAAGGGAUUCCUUCCCAGUAGACAGUUCAGAGUAUCAACUUGAUUGGUAGGCUUCAUCUCAUCUGGAGUUACCAGGUCCAGAGUUGGUAUUGUUUUUGUGUAUAUAGAGAUGAUGGGUAGGCUAGGGCCCUGUCCCGACCACAGUAUAGUUCUGUUAUAUUUAGAUGCUUGUAGACGAGCCCUGUAUAUUUGGUAUGUCACUGUAGUGGCCUUGCCGGCCUUUGUAUAUGAUUGUUUUGGGAUUACUAUUUGUAGACGUUGAUGGCGGCCUCGUCGGCCUGCACUUUUAUGUAUACAUGUUUUUGGGAGUGUUUACCCUUCAGAUGAUUCGGAAUACGGCCUUGUCGGCCUAGAUGGGUAUUGUCUACUUGCAGGGAGUCCUUUUCGACCUAAGUUCAGGGUCACAUCCAGAGUUUAUAGUUAUAGAGUGGUACGCUCAGGGUCAAGUAAGGCACUAGGUGCCGGCCACACUUCCCCAGGUUUGGGGUGUGACAAUACAUGUUUCAUAUAAGAAGGCUUAGAACUAGAAUAGAAAAGGCAGAAUCAAUAUUGUAACGAAUGCGUUUAGUCGUAAGUCACAGGUGGCUUGAUAAUGAGCAAGCUCAAAAAGAAAAAGGGUUGACUAGAGGUUUUCACUAAUUAGCAGGUUCGGAAUCUGCUUGGCAGACUCAGAUAAUCAAGAUAUAAUGGCUUGAAAUAUGGUAGAGUCAUCUCUUAUCGAUAAGAUGGAAAGGAUGUUGACAAGAAGAUUUCCAUUUUAGGAAAAGUCAAAAGAGAUAUUCGGCAAGAGAAAACUACUGCUUUUGAGUCUAUUGACCAAGGGAUCUUAAAAUUUUAGGGCCAAUUGUGUAUUAGGAUAGAGGUCCAUUAUUCACGCUAUUCUAUUCAUCUUGGUAUCCCACAAUGCCAAAGCAUUACGUUGGUAGCCCGAUAUGAAGGAAACCAUUGUAAGUUUCCUGGCUUAAUAUUCCAGUUGCUAACUGGACAAAAUAGAACAUCAGGAACCCAAUGGAUUAACACAGAAUAAAGUAACCCAAUAUGGAAAUGAGAAGUGAUUGGCAUAAGAUUCAUUACAGAUAUAGCAAGUUUGAUUCCAUAUGAAUGACUGUAAAUAGUUUUACAAAAAUCAGCUUACUUUUACUGGACAAGUUACCAAAGGUUAUGUAAAACGGAAGGGUGUAGGAGGUAGAUAGGGUACAUAAUGUUUCCACCUUGAUUAUGGCUAAUACAGGUGCUCAAUUACAGAUAACGUUUGAAAGUCCAUUCAAAGAAACUUCGGUACGUAAGAUAAUUCUAGCACAAGUGAAGCAUACAAUUCAGAUGCUCAAAUAUAUGUUACAAACUAAGAUGCCAAAUUUUACGGAAGGAUGGGAUAAUCGAUCACCGCCUAUUCAAUUCACGUACAAUAAUAAUUAUCAUAGUGAGGUCCAUGAGAAUACAUCUCAAUUUGACAGAACAGUCCUAAUGAAACAUGUAACGAAAAGAAGCGUCGAUAUCUCACAAGAUAUUGAGAGGAGAAUUGUUUGCACCUGAUUUAGUGUAUCAGGCUAUAGAAAAGUCAAUCGCGCUCAGGAGUUUUUGUACCGAGAAAUGUCAAAAAUUAUCUUUAGAUACGCAAUGACGAGGCUUAUGAAUGGCUUAAGAAAAUUUUGAGUCAAUGAUUAGGUCUUCUCAGAAAUCUUGCCCAUAAAGAACGUAACAAGAUGGUAGGAUAAGUUGACCAAGAUAUGUAACGCCAUAAAUAGGAGAUUAGGCCAAACUACAUGUGAGUCGGAGCUGCCCUUGGAAUUAAAACAUGUGCAUUAGCAUCCAUGUUUCUAUGUUGAAGGAAAGCAUUGGAAAUCCCCCUUAGCUAGUCCCGAUAGAUGAUGCACAAGAAAGAGGUUCAAAUAGCGAUAAUGAAGGAGAAUGUGAAAGAUGAUUGAUGUGCCACGUAAUUUCGGCACAUGUGACUCUUUUGGCGAAGAGUUUUACUUGUUUUCAAGCAAGUUCGUGUCGUUUUUAUGUGGUUUUUAUUGUAUUUCAGGUAUUAAGUUUUUUUAUGGAAAAAGUUGGAGAAGUUUAUGAAAAUGCGGAAAGAAGUGGAGAAAAUAACGAGUCACUGAAAAAGGCAGCUUGACGGAGCAAUUAGACGGCCCGCAGAACUUUCUGCGGAAUGUCAAAUGUACGGUAGAACGGUCACAGUAAGAAGUUCACAGAAGAUCCAUCCUGCGGAACAAUAUUACGGACCGCGAAACAUUUGACGGUCCGUUAAAGAGUAGCGUAGAAUAGUACAGGAGACUGUUUGACGGUUGAAGGGCAGCAAUUUGAGGGUCCGCAUUAUGGUUUUACGGUCCGCAGAAUGAAUCCGACGGGCAAUUUUGUAUUUUUACUUCUCACGACUUAGGCACUUAUAAGUACUUGCUAUAGGUUUCUUGUAAGAGACGAUUCACUAGAUUUUCAGUUUUAUUUCCUCAGCACUAAAUACUCAUAGUUUUUGAAGGCUUUUGGGAUUACAAACAAGUGCAAUUAAUUUCUCUUCAAUUCCAAGCAAUCAUUCGUAAGCA